UACAGAGGUCUCAAGCGUUGUUCGGAUUCAUUGGGCGUAAAGGGCGCGUAGGCGGCGAGGUAAGUCGGGUGUGAAAUCUCAGAGCUUAACUCUGAAACUGCACUCGAUACUGCUUUGCUAGAGGACUGGAGAGGAGAUUGGAAUUCACGGUGUAGCAGUGAAAUGCGUAGAGAUCGUGAGGAAGACCAGUGGCGAAGGCGGAUCUCUGGACAGUUCCUGA
rnacentral:rRNA from 1 species